UUCGAGCGUCAUUACAACCCUCAAGCCCUGCUUGGUAUUGGAUGCAAUUAUUAUGAUCCAUCCCAAAAUCAGUGGCGGUUCCAUUCGGCUUCCAGCGUAGUAAUACUCUCGCUGUGGGUGACCGGGUGUGUACUUGCCAGCAACUCUUUUAAUUUAAUAAGGUUGACCUCGGAUCAGGUAGGGAUACCCGCUGAACUUAA
rnacentral:misc_RNA from 1 species